ACGGCUGAACCAGCAACUUGGAAGAAUGUAUAACGAAUAAGUCGUAUAAAAUUCUAGAUAGAAAAUUGAUAAUGACUACUAUCUAUCUAUUAGUCUUGACCAAAUUACGUGCCAGCAGUCGCGGCAACACGCAGAAGACAAGUGUUAUUCAUCUUUAAUCGGUAUAAAGGGUACCUAGACAGGAAAUAAAGCCAUAGUAGGGACUAAUUUUCUAGAGUUUUAUGGGAGAAAGUCGAAUAUCUGGAGGAGAGAUAAAAUAUUGUGAUACCAGAGAGACGGGUAACGGCGUAGGCAACUUUCUAUGUAAAAACUGACGUUGAGGGACGAAGCCCUGGGUAACGAGAAGGAUUAGAUACCCCAGUAGUCCAGGGAGACAAUGAUGAGUGCCAUAGGCUAGAUAGAUUAGUUUAUAAAUGAAAGUGCAAGCAUUCCACCUCAAGACUAAAGCGGCAACGCCCAAAUUGAAACCAUUAGACCGUUUCUGAAACCAGUAGUGAAGUAUGUUAUUUAAUUCGAUGAUCCACGAAUAACCUUACCACGUUUUGAAUACAUAGGGGAAAAAAGUAUUGCAGGUGCUUUUAUCGGCGAAUACGCAAUAGUGUUCGUCCUUCCCUUUGCCUGCUUAACUGAUACAAGCGCUGCACGGCUGUCUUUAGUUAAUGUCGUGAGACUUUGGUUAACUCCUUUAAUUAACGAAAACCCUUGUUUUAUUUGUUUAUAUAAAACAGUUCUCCGCUAUAUUGGAUAAGAUAAUAGGGAUUAAGGCAAGUCAUCAUGGCCU
rnacentral:rRNA from 1 species